CGCAUGCAAAUUACUCUACCUCCUUGCCUGCCAGCCAAAAAUGGCUAACCUCCAAGGACACAGUAAUACGAUUAUGCUAAUACCAUUGACUUUGUUGAUGAGGGGGGCCAGUGUG
ensembl:ncRNA Y67D8C.21 ncRNA